rnacentral:rRNA from 1 species
CAGUCGCCGCGGGAAUACGUAGGGUGCAAGCGUUAAUCGGAAUUACUGGGCGUAAAGCGUGCGCAGGCGGUUUGUUAAGGCAGAUGUGAAAUCCCCGGGCUCAACCUGGGAACUGCAUUUGUGACUGGCAAGCUAGAGUGUGGCAGAGGGGGGUGGAACUCCGCGUGUAGCAGUGAAAUGCGUAGAUAUGCGGAGGAACACCGAUGGCGAAGGCAGCCCCCUGGGCCAACACUGACGCUCAUGCACGAAAGCGUGGGGAGCAAACAGGAUUAGAUACCCGUGUAGUCCCUGUCUCUUAUCC